AGACCCGAAACCCGGUGAUCUAGCCAUGGGCAGGUUGAAGGUUGGGUAACACUAACUGGAGGACCGAACCGACUAAUGUUGAAAAAUUAGCGGAUGACCUGUGGCUGGGGGUGAAAGGCCAAUCAAACCGGGAGAUAGCUGGUUCUCCCCGAAAGCUAUUUAGGUAGCGCCUCGUGAACUCAUCUCCGGGGGUAGAGCACUGUUUCGGCUAGGGGGCCAUCCCGGCUUACCAACCCGAUGCAAACUGCGAAUACCGGAGAAUGUUAUCACGGGAGACACACGGCGGGUGCUAACGUCCGUCGUGAAGAGGGAAACAACCCAGACCGCCAGCUAAGGUCCCAAAGUCAUGGUUAAGUGGGAAACGAUGUGGGAAGGCCCAGACAGCCAGGAUGUUGGCUUAGAAGCAGCCAUCAUUUAAAGAAAGCGUAAUAGCUCACUGGUCGAGUCGGCCUGCGCGGAAGAUGUAACGGGGCUAAACCAUGCACCGAAGCUGCGGCAGCGACACUUUAGUGUUGUUGGGUAGGGGAGCGUUCUGUAAGCCGUUGAAGGU
rnacentral:rRNA from 1 species